AAUUUUUUCUCUUACUUCAGUCAAAGAAAACACUACAGCUACGUCUGAGAUCUUCAAGUGUGGGCAGGACACUCUCCCCAGUGGUCUGCACUCUGCAGACUUCCCAGGUGCUGAUGAUUCCAUUAAGACUUCAUGAGUUUGCUCCUCCCAAGGGUUUUUUUUUCAGAUCAGGAAGUGAGGGCAGCCAGGGAGGUUGCGGAUUGCAGGAGAAAUGCUUUAUACAAAGAAAAGCACACCCGCUGCCACCUCAUGACAAUAAGAUGCAUUUUUAUGUACACUCUCCCCGAAUAGAAACAUUUCUGUACACAUUAUGUAGCUGCGAAAUGGCCUCACAAAAUUCAGAGAAGAGUGACUCUCGAAGCAUACCUCUGUUUCAGCUGGCGUAUUGUUUCAGAAAGCGUGGAUUAGGAGCUCAAGGUGGCAUUCACGGGUCCUUUCCUCAAUGUUACCCUCACAACAGGAAUUUGAAAAGAUUCCUAUUUGCCCAGGCAUUGGAUGGCUGAAGAGAACUGUUCCUGGCAACCUGAAGAUCGCUGAUGAAAGAAUGCUGUUAAGCUGUGUUUUAGAAUAUUUGUAACCGCAAUUGUGUUUUCUAACGUUUUCAUUUGUCCGUUCAUUCUUGUAAGCCACCUUCCCACACAAAACUGUGCUCAAGGCAGCUUACAACAAGAUGAACAAAAAUACACCUCAAAAACAAUUGCAGAAACAAUUUUCUAAUAAAAAAUAAUAAAACAGGAACAUAAAAACAAACAUAACAGUAAGCAAAGACAACUUUUCAAUAUUAUGAAUAAA